rnacentral:rRNA from 1 species
GCGCAAAUUACCCACUCCCGGCACGGGGAGGUAGUGACGAAAAAUAACGAUACGGGACUCAUUUGAGGCCCCGUAAUCGGAAUGAGUACAAUUUAAAUCCUUUAACGAGGAUCAAUUGGAGGGCAAGUCUGGUGCCAGCAGCCGCGGUAAUUCCAGCUCCAAUAGCGUAUAUUAAAGUUGUUGCGGUUAAAAAGCUCGUAGUUGAAUUUGUGUGUUACGCUGUUGGUUCACCGCUCGCGCGGUGUUUAACUGAUGCGCUCGUAACACGUCCUACCGGNGGGGUCCUCAUAUCACUAUNAUUGGUGAUAUGAACCCCAAUUUAAACCUGCAGCGGUGCUCUUUACCGAGUGUCGUUGGAGGCCGGUACUUUUACUUUGAACAAAUUAGAGUGCUUAAAGCAGGCUACUUUUGCCUGAAUACUGUGUGCAUGGAAUAAUGGAAUAGGACCUCGGUUCUAUUUUGUUGGUUUUCGGAACACCGAGGUAAUGAUUAAUAGGGACAGAUGGGGGCAUUCGUAUUGCGACGUUAGAGGUGAAAUUCUUGGAUCGUCGCAAGACGAACAGAAGCGAAAGCAUUUGCCAAAAAUGUUUUCAUUAAUCAAGAACGAAAGUUAGAGGUUCGAAGGCGAUCAGAUACCGCCCUAGUUCUAACCAUAAACGAUGCCAGCUAGCGAUCCGCCGAAGUUCCUCCGAUGACUCGGCGGGCAGCUUACGGGAAACCAAAGCUUUUGGGUUCCGGGGGAAGUAUGGUUGCAAAGCUGAAACUUAAAGGAAUUGACGGAAGGGCACCACCAGGAGUGGAGCCUGCGGCUUAAUUUGACUCAACACGGGAAACCUCACCAGGCCCAGACACCGGAAGGAUUGACAGAUUGAUAGCUCUUUCUUGAUUCGGUGGGUGGUGGUGCAUGGCCG